GACGAACGCUGGCGGCGUGCCUAACACAUGCAAGUCGAGCGAAGCUUUUAAAGUGGAUCCCUUCGGGGUGAAACCUUAACUGUCUUAGCGGCGGACGGGUGAGUAACGCGUGAGAAACCUGCCUUUCACAACGGGAUAACCCGGUGAAAGUCGGACUAAUACCCUAUAUGCUCACGAGAGGCGCCUGCCUUGGUGAGGAAAGAUUUAUCACUGACAGAUGGACAUGCGUCCCAUUAGCUGGUUGGUAGGGUAACGGCCUACCAAGGCAACGAUGGGUAGGGGAACUGAGAGGUUUAUCCCCCACAUUGGUACUGAGACACGGACCAA
rnacentral:rRNA from 1 species